AAGUUUGAAAUGCAAUCAUUUUCCUACAGACAAAAUUUGAACCACUGAGACAAACAGUUUACAUCCUGAGUAAUAUUAAUUUUUUUUGUUCUUAUAGGUAACUGAUCGCCUAUAUCAUGUUAUUCUUUCUGAUGUCUAACUAGAUAACUGAAACCUUUUAAGUUAUAAACAAGAAAAUCAAAAGCAAUUACCGCACUCCAGAAACACCUGUUGUAACUGGAAACAGCCUCUGUUAAGUGCUAACCUGAAGUAUCUGAGAAGUUUCACACCCAAAAGCAAAAACACCCUCUGCCAUCACAGUCCUCAACCAGGCUGCUGCUCUAAGGAUUCCAAUGUUUUCUGAAACCAUCUCACUCCCUGUCACGGGAAGGAUGAAUGGAACAGCAGCUCACAUUACAGAUUUUCACAGCAUUGCAGACUUGAGCUGCUAGCAGGGAAGCCAAUGUAUGAGAGAGAAACUGAGGAGUGUGUGUUUUAGGAAGAAACCAUCUGGAUCUCGUAGACAGCUCAGAUGUGAAGUCGUUUGCUGCACAAGCAGCACAACUGUCUUUGUUCUCUGCAUGGGUGCCAAGAUGUGUCAUCUUGGGAAGAAGUAGGUAGUUCAUAAAGAAGUCACUGUUUCAGUAAAGCUGGUCAGACACCAUGUUUCUGUGGAAAAUAAUUUAUGUUUAUUUUCUGAAAAGCAAAAUAUUUCCAUUGUUGGACCUUGCAGGAAAAAUAAAAAAUAUAUCUCCCAAAAAUGAGAUCCUUUC
rnacentral:lncRNA from 1 species